rnacentral:rRNA from 1 species
GUGGGGAAUCUUAGACAAUGGGGGAAACCCUGAUCUAGCCAUGCCGCGUGAGCGAUGAAGGCCUUAGGGUUGUAAAGCUCUUUCAGCUGGGAAGAUAAUGACGGUACCAGCAGAAGAAGCCCCGGCUAACUCCGUGACAGCAGCCGCGGUAAUACGGAGGGGGCUAGCGUUGUUCGGAAUUACUGGGCGUAAAGCGCGCGUAGGCGGACCAGAAAGUUGGAGGUGAAAUCACAGUGCUCAACCUUGGAACUGCCUUCAAAACUCCUGGUCUGGAGUUCGAGAGAGGUGAGUUGAAUUCCGAGUGUAGAGGUGAAAUUCGUAGAUAUUCGGAGGAACACCAGUGGCGAAGGCGGCUCACUGGCUCGAUAAUGACGCUGAGGUGCGAAAGCGUGGGGAGCAAACAGGAUUAGAAACCCGGGUAGUCC